rnacentral:lncRNA from 1 species
GGGAUUUCUGAUGUGGGUGGUUUCAUGUCUAACUAUAUGGUAUGCAACAAGGCACUGACAAAUUUUUUAUUCCAAUCUCAAGUAUAUUGUUUAACUGAUGGCUUUGCAUUCAUAUUUGUGACAGCUGAAACUUUGAAGUCCUGGAACUCCUGGAUGCAUGUAUUGUGUGGUUUUGCUCUUGUUGGCAUGUUGGCUAAAUGGGUCAUUGUUGAAAGUGUGAAACUAGGCACUAAUAGUUUACAUAUAUCGUGUCACUAAAAUGUUCUACUUUUUUGGUCCAUUGGGGGUCCUUUGCUUGCUUGAUGUGCGGAUUCGAAUCUGAUCUUUCACUUUUGAAUGCUAUCAUUCCAACUGGUAGUCUCCUUUCUUGCUUACAACACAAUUAACUGCUUCUGGAUUCUUAUAUUCUCGCAUUGGCCCUGUUCCUCUCAAGUGUAUGAGGAAUGAUGUUGAGAUCUUGGAAUUGGUGAUAGUAUGACGCACCCCCACCAUCUAGUGAGAUGAUGGAAUUGAAACAUAGAUUCUGCCUUAGAAGCCAGGCUCCUUGUAUUCUCCUCUAAACUCAGUUUAUAUUGACAAA